rnacentral:rRNA from 5 species
AAAAUGACUCUCGACAACGGAUAUCUCGGCUCUCGCAUCGAUGAAGAACGUAGCGAAAUGCGAUACUUGGUGUGAAUUGCAGAAUCCCGUGAACCAUCGAGUCUUUGAACGCAAGUUGCGCCCCAAGCCGUUAGGCCGAGGGCACGUCUGCCUGGGUGUCACAC